rnacentral:snoRNA from 1 species
UUACAUGAUGAAGCGGCACUGGGCUCCGAGAGUACCCAUAUCGGGCUCGGCCAUGAGCAGACAAGCCACUUUGCGGCAGGCCUAGAAAACCUCGCCCACUGAUU